CAAUCUGAGAGUUUGAUCCUGGCUCAGAGCGAACGCUGGCGGCAGGCUUAACACAUGCAAGUCGAACGGGCACUUCGGUGCUAGUGGCAGACGGGUGAGUAACACGUGGGAACGUGCCUUUCGGUUCGGAAUAAUCCAGGGAAACUUGGACUAAUACCGGAUACGCCCUUCGGGGGAAAGAUUUAUCGCCGAAAGAUCGGCCCGCGUCUGAUUAGCUAGUUGGUGAGGUAAAGGCUCACCAAGGCGACGAUCAGUAGCUGGUCUGAGAGGAUGAUCAGCCACACUGGGACUGAGACACGGCCCAGACUCCUACGGGAGGCAGCAGUGGGGAAUAUUGGACAAUGGGCGCAAGCCUGAUCCAGCCAUGCCGCGUGAGUGAUGAAGGCCUUAGGGUUGUAAAGCU
rnacentral:rRNA from 1 species